GGUUGUGGCUCAGUGGUAGAGUGUUCACCUGGCAUGCAUGAGGGACUGGGUUCAAUCCUCAGCACCA
rnacentral:tRNA from 1 species